CGUUAAUCAAGAGAUUUAUACAAUUUUUGCACGCUCGGAUGAACUUCUUGUAAUUAACAAUAAACUUUUUAAGUUUAACAAAUAGCAAUACAAAUGUCAUACAAAUAUCAACACGAAUACCUAGAAUAACAAAUCUUUCAAUAAAACAACAUCGCAAGUGUUGUCUUUAUAGCUCUGCGUUUCUUACGCUAAUUAUUUCAAGUUUGGGGUUCGACGAGAGAACACAGGCAACCCUAGUCCCCUAGCAAGCAAAUACCAAGGGAAAGCAAGGGAGCAGCAUGCAUUCAAGGGUGUAUUAUUUACAGCAUAUUACAUAGAAUAUUUAAUUGAGCCUGUGCACAUCAUGUAUUACCCUGUACUGAUACAGAAUGUGCACAGAAAUAUAUCGCAGAAAAUGAAGUUGUAAACAUUUCAAUAUUUCAAGCUGUAAAGUUUUAAUUUUAGUAAAAAGCCUAAAAGUUGCUCAGAAAUUGCUC